GCAGCUGUGCUUCGUCUGUCGUCCAUAUUUGGUAGCAAACUUGUUCACAUCUCAACAGCUCUUUGCAGGAGCUGAAAGCCCUCUUGCCUUGCAGUGGAAGGGAAGCUCAGCACACUCCCAGUAUCACCGAGCUGCGGUGGCCAGAAAUCCUACUGCUGAAAACCAGAGAGAAAAUCUGUUUGUGAGGACUUUGCAGUGCAGCUGCGGAGAGGAGAAGCAGCUCCAAACCCAGCAGAGCAGCUGCAGAGCUGUCCUGCCGCGGGCACACAUGGGGAGAUGCGUGGCCAGGAGGAGGACGCAUCGCUCCGGGAAGGACCUCGGAGGGCCGGGAACCCGACGCCAUUUCCAUGCCCUCCUGACCCCAAAGGCCUCAAAGGACUCAGCAUUCACUGCUCGUGCUUCCACAUCAUUUCUGAUGCGCUCGGCUCCGCGGCACACAGACAGCAGCC
rnacentral:lncRNA from 1 species